rnacentral:rRNA from 1 species
GAUGAACGCUGGCGGCGUGCCUAAUACAUGCAAGUCGAGCGAACAGACGCGGAGCUUGCUCCUCUGACGUUAGCGGCGGACGGGUGAGUAACACGUGGAUAACCUACCUAUAAGACUGGGAUAACUUCGGGAAACCGGAGCUAAUACCGGAUAAUAUAUUGAACCGCAUGGUUCAAUAGUGAAAGACGGUUUUGCUGUCACUUAUAGAUGGAUCCGCGCCGCAUUAGCUAGUUGGUAAGGUAACGGCUUACCAAGGCAACGAUGCGUAGCCGACCUGAGAGGGUGAUCGGCCACACAAGAUCUGACACACGGACCAGACUCCUACGGGAGGCAACAGUAGGGAAUCUGCCGAAUGGGCGAAAGCCUGACGGAGAAACGCCGCGUGGGUGAUGAAGGUCUUCGGAUCGUAAAACUCUGUUAUUAGGGAAGAACAAAUGUGUAAGUAACUAUGCACGUCUUGACGGUACCUAAUCAGAAAGCCACGGCUAACUACGUG